rnacentral:misc_RNA from 1 species
CAGAACUUUCUUCAAUAAACGUUGUUAUUGAUACUAUACAUGUAAUGGGGAAGGCGUUGGAUUUUUCUUUAGCUUUUGUUGGGUGGGAAGGGGCGAGGAAUGAUAGGUUAUGGUCAGAAUCUAACAUUACAAUUAAUAUGAACAAUGCUGUAGAUGAGCAGUUUGAGAGAAUUAAGGGAGUAGGGGCUAAAUAAAAUGCACAAAUGCUUCAAAAUCCAGCCUGUCUGCAGCUGAAACCCCAAUUGCUGAACUUGAAAGCAAAAAUCCUUUUAGAUAGCAUCAAAUCAACUGAAUUAUUGCUCAUUAUUUGGAGACUGCAAGAAAUGCUUGCCAAAUCAAGAGAGAAAUUUGACUCUUGCGUGGUCUAGAAGCACAGGACAGAGGGCACAGGCAGCAGCUACUGGAAUGAGAUUCUUUGGAGCCUGUUAAAUAGUCAUCCACCGGCUGAUGGUAUAGCAUGAACACCACUACCCCAAAAAGGGAGAAAAGAAAAGAAACAAAAUGAAGCUCGCAUUGUCGCUUAACCUGAUUUUAUAUACAAAUAUAGCCACUUCAAAGAAAAUGACUCAGGCGGUCAUUAUUUUUUGAAUAUACUUCUCUUAACUUUUUCCUGCUUGUCUAUGUUAACAACAAAGAAAAAAAAUUGUCUUAACUGGAAUCAUCAGAAGCUCCUGAAGACAACCUGAGACUGCCCAAUCAUUGCCAUCUUUACACAGAUCCUGAACCAAGAAAAUUAUUGCAGCCUUCAAUAGUAGAACUAAAAUUCAUGUCAAUGCCCGCAUUUUACAAUUCCCAUCCUUCAGGGUUCAGAUGUCUCCAAACAUGUUAUGACUAACAAAUUUAUGAGGGAAAAAAAAAAAAGAGCUAAACUAAUCUCCAUCCAGGAAAAAACAAUUGCCAGAAAGAUGGUACACUCUGGUAUGAGAAUUCUACAACCCCACACAUACUUAUAGUUGGGGUCCUGUAACUUUAUUCACUUAUUUCUUCAACAACAGUCCUGCUUCACCAUAAAACUGCCACUUUUUACAACCUCACAAUCAUUUCUGUAGAAGUUGAUGAAUAAAUAUCCUUAAUACCAAUCCUG